GCUGGGCAUGGUGGCACAUGCUUAUAAUCCCAGCAACUAGGGAGGUUGAGGCAGGAGGAUCAUGAGUUCAAAGCCAGCCUCAGCAGAGGGAGACACUAAGCAACUCUGUGAGACCCUGUCUCUA
rnacentral:sRNA from 1 species